UACGUAGGUGUCAAGCGUUGUCCGGAUUUAUUGGGCGUAAAGCGCCCGCAGGCGGCUUGCCAAGUUCGAUGUGAAAUCUCCCGGCUCAACUGGGAGGGUGCAUCGAAAACUGACAGGCUUGAGGCAGGGAGAGGGAUGUGGAAUUCCAGGUGUAGUGGUGAAAUGCGUAGAUAUCUGGGGGAACACCAGUGGCGAAGGCGGCAUCCUGGCCCUGUCCUGACGCUCAGGGGCGAAAGCGUGGGGAGCAAACCGG
rnacentral:rRNA from 1 species